AUGUUUGGCAAAUAUUUCCAAUUGUGGCUUUUUCCAUUCGACUAUCUCCUUGACUUAGUGAUCACCCUUGCAGAAUUUUGUCAAAACUUUGAAGAAGAAACCAGUCGACUGGAGCCAAACCUUGACCCCGUCAACUCUCCGGUGAACGACGAAGUUGCCAUGGAUGUUUUCCGACUGGAGUCUCGUGUUGCAGCUGUCGUGGACUAUCUCGCAAGGCUGAAGGCCGCCACAUCUCGCAUUGACUCGACGCUCUGGCCUGAGGAGACACUUCAGAAUGACCUUGAGUCGCUGAUGGCCCGCUUGAACACGAUCCCUGGUCGAGUGCAGGAGUGGAAGAAGUCCUCGGCUCGGUGUGGUGCAGAUGUCGCUCUGUGUCUGGCCCGAGUCCACUGCAAAGAUGCGCGAGAAGAGAAGCUGGCGGCCCUUCGGGUGGCCAAUACCAAGAAGCACGACUUCAGAUCCUUUAUGGAAACUUUCCUUGCAGCUGCCACUCGGAUCGCCGACGGGAUUGACCUUGAUGAAUUUGUUGCACCUUCCAGCCCUCCACAGGAGGGGUAA
rnacentral:rRNA from 1 species